rnacentral:tRNA from 1 species
GCCCAGGUGGUGAAAUUGGUAGACACGCCAGCCUUAGGAGCUGGUGUCGCAAGAUAUGGAGGUUCGAGUCCUCUCCUGGGCACCA